CGAGCCUGCUGGGCAGUCGCGCCCUGCAACGCAGGGUGAGGAAAGUCCGGACUCCACAGGGCACGGUGCUGGCUAACCGCCAGGCGGGGCAACCCGACGGAAAGUGCAACAGAAAACACACCGCCACGCAGGAGCCAUCAUCCUGCGGGGUAAGGGUGAAAUGGUGCGGUAAGAGCGCACCGGCGUCGCAGUGAUGCGGCGGCCUGGCAAACCCCACCGGGAGCAACGCCAAGACGCGCAGAUGAGGCGGCCCGCUGAUGCGCAGGUAGGCGGCUUGAGGCGGCUGGUAACAGUCGUCCCAGAGAGAUGACUGCCUCGGAUCCUUUGUGGGAUCUAAGACAGAAUCCGGCUUACAAGCAGACUCGAGCG
rnacentral:RNase_P_RNA from 1 species